CAGAAAUGAUGACAAAAUGCAGCGACGCUUCCUGUCCUUCCACUGGAACAAGCUCUAAUCAUCUUUUGCAGGUGAUACUGACGUGCGUGGCCAAUCGGAUCAAGCAGAUGCACUGAUUCUGACUCGAGGGAAGAGCUACAGUUACUCAUGCGGAUGGACUGAUGCCAUGCUGAGAAAGCCGACUGGUGGAGGCUGAUGUCAUGCAUCCUACUAACCAAUUAAACAGAGAGAGAGACACACAGACUGUUGCAGG